AGAAGAGUAGCUCAACCGGUAGAGCGUAGGAUUCCAAAUCCUAAGGUUGCAAGUUCAAGUCUUGUUUCUUCUG
rnacentral:tRNA from 1 species